CCUACGGGAGGCAGCAGUGAGGAAUAUUGGUCAAUGGGCGAGAGCCUGAACCAGCCAAGUCGCGUGAGGGAGUACUGCCCUAUGGGUUGUAAACCUCUUUUGUCGGGGAGCAAAAGCCGGACGUGUCCGGCUGUGAGAGUACCCGAAGAAAAAGCAUCGGCUAACUCCGUGCCAGCAGCCGCGGUAAUACGGAGGAUGCGAGCGUUAUCCGGAUUUAUUGGGUUUAAAGGGUGCGCAGGCGGAUUUUUAAGUCAGCGGUAAAAUCGUGGGGCAAAACCCCAUCCAGCCGUUGAAACUGGGGAUCUAGAGUGUGCGAGAGGUAUGCGGAAUGCGUGGUGUAGCGGUGAAAUGCAUAGAUAUCACGCAGAACCCCGAUUGCGAAGGCAGCAUACCGGUGCACAACUGACGCUCGGGCACGAAAGCGUGGGUAUCGAACAGGAUUAGAUACCCGAGUAGUC
rnacentral:rRNA from 1 species